ACGGCGAGUCAACCUUGAACCUUGAACCUUCAUUCAAUCAUGCUUGCCACCAAGUUUAACUAUGCGCUGGUGGUACUCUUGAUGCCUUCUACAAUCUUAUUGCCGAUUGAAAGGAAUAAUUCUCAGGCUUCAUUCAUCCAACAAUGCAAAAACAAAAUGGCUAUUUGCUUUUAGCAUUAGAGAAGAAAUUAAAAAAAAUGUUUACUUUCUUGCUUUGUAGCAUUACUGGUUUGUUCCUUGAGUUAACGCAUAAGUCAUUUAAAAAAGCCAAAAAAUAGAUAUAGGAAAACAAAGUGUUGGUAAAACGUAUUGCCCUUUUCUUAUUUCUUUGGUAAGUAAAAAAAAGUUGUGUGUUUACCUUUAUUUUCUUUCUCUCUUUUGGGUAAUGAGGGUGGGGCCGGUGGAGUUAGUUUUCAAACAAAUAAUUUACUUUCUCUCUUUUUAUUUGUGUGGGUUGGGGAUGGGGGUGGAACUCCGCCUAUGCCAUUUUAAGGUAACACUUACAAAUUGCGUAGCCGGUCCCAAGCCCGGAAAAAGGAGGAGGGACCAACCAUGUGUUCAUAGCAAUGUUCAGGAUAUCGGUAACUGGUAGCUGCUUGGUUGGGUGCUGAGUAGGGAUUAAUCGGCAAAUCGGCCUAUUAACAAAAUUUAUCAGUAACCCAUUUAUUGGUAGGUAACCUAGGAGAGGACAGUGCAGCAAUGCAGAUAUAGCAGGUCAAAGCAGCCUACACAAAGGAGAGGACGGAGCAGAAAUGAAGAUAUAAUAGAUCAUGGAGGAGAGGAGAGACUGCCUUGCUACUUGCGGAAGCCAUGGACAGGUGAUGUAGCAGGAAGAAGCAACGAGCUUGGGGAAGCUAGCUGGAGGACAACAACGCCGGUUGGUCGAGGAGGAGGCAACAAGCUCUGGGGCAGGGGCACCGGCUCCUCCUCCUGGAUUCUGGAGGAGGGGAGAUGCGAGCUGGCUGACGUCAUCGGCGGCUGGUCAGGGAGAAGACGGCGAGCUUGGGGGCGGAGCCAUCGGCUGUCCUGGAUCCAAGAGGAGGGGAGGCCAUCGGGAGAGGGGAGGCGUGAGCUGGAUGACAUUUCCAGCGCCUGCUCGGGCGGCGGCGGCGCUCCUCUAGGAGAAGGAGCAGGAGCCCCAAACUUUGAACGCGGAAACGGGCUAGUUUUGGGCCAAAAUAAGCUAUGCCUCCUCUAGGAGGUAAUCGGCCCACCCGAUAAUUCCGUCUGACAGCCUCAAAAAAAAAUUAAUAGACUGGCAAAGUUAAUUGGCUGAAUAGAAGGAUUUUGAUUUGGUGAAGUGCGAGCAGCAGUUAACUUAAAUGCCGGGCGAUACUUUGAACAUCGGUUUAUAUAGGGUUGCGUUGACUCUGUCCAUUUUAUAGUAGAAAUGAAGAAACAUGAAGGAGAAACUAUGCUUUCUAUUGAUAAUAAGAAAGGAAAAGACCUCCGUAUUCAAGCUAGGGAGGAUAUUUUGCUGUGCCCCUAGCCGCAAAUGAAGUUGGUAAACCCAUUUCAGUUGGUAGUUACACGCACCAUAUGAGUAUUCUUGAAUCAUUUCCCUUAAUCAUUAUUCAAGCUGUAUGUUCUCCAUUUUUUCUGAAUCAUGCAUGUACAUAAUCUGAACGACAAGUUAUAUACCCACAUAUGGAUGUGGUGUUUGCUAAUGGGAAAUGGUCUUGAUGGCAGAAGGAAUUUGUGGUCUGUUGUUUCCUUGUGGUGACGGUAAGAGCAUCUUCAACAGCCGCCCAAUGCGCGGCGCCCAUAAAACUGGUUUAUAGCGCGCAAGUAGGUUUUUUAGGGCGCUAGAAGACGUUUGCUCCAACAAGCGCUGCAAAAAUAUGCUGUGCGCGCGAGUCCAGCGGUCCCAAUCAAGCGGUCCCAUCUGCAGCAGUCUAGAGUUUGCAGCGCGCGCGACCAGACGCACUAAAUAUGCUGUGCGCGCUGCAUUAAUUAUAGCGCGCGCACGCUUUUUAUGCUGCUGCUGGAGACUCCAAAUCAGUACCGCGCACGCUAAAAGCAGUUUUUAUACCGCGCGUUGCUUAUAUAGCGCUUCUGUUGGAGAUGCUCUAAAUAGACUAUUUACAGAACUCUAGCUUGUUGCUUGGCACUGCAUCCCUUAACUGAAGGUAGCCAAGUUAUCUCGAGGCAUUACCAAAGAAGGC